rnacentral:rRNA from 1 species
GAUGGGAAACAGGUUAAUAUUCCUGUACUUGGUGUUACUGCGAAGGGGGGACGGAGAAGGCUAGGCUAGCCGGGCGACGGUUGUCCCGGUUUAAGCGUGUAGGGGGUGUGACCUGGUAAAUCCGGUUGCAUGUUAACCCUGAGGCGUGAUGACGAUGCACUACGGUGCAGAAGUAGUUGAUGCCCUGCUUCCAGGAAAAUCCUCUAAGCUCCAGGUAACAUUAAAUCGUACCCCAAACCGACACAGGUGGUCAGGUAGAGAAUACCAAGGCGCUUGAGAGAACUCGGGUGAAGGAACUAGGCAAAAUGGUGCCGUAACUUCGGGAGA